rnacentral:rRNA from 1 species
GACGAACGCUGGCGGCGUGCUUAACACAUGCAAGUCGAACGGAAAGGCCCUGCUCUUGUGGGGUGCUCGAGUGGCGAACGGGUGAGUAACACGUGAGUAACCUGCCCUUGACUUUGGGAUAACUUCAGGAAACUGGGGCUAAUACCGGAUAGGAGCUCCUGCUGCAUGGUGGGGGUUGGAAAGUUUCGGCGGUUGGGGAUGGACUCGCGGCUUAUCAGCUUGUUGGUGGGGUAGUGGCUUACCAAGGCUGUGACGGGUAGCCGGCCUGAGAGGGUGACCGGCCACAAUGGGACUGAGAUACGGCCCAGACUCCUACGGGAGGCAGCAGUGGGGAAUAUUGCACAAUGGGCGGAAGCCUGAUGCAGCAACGCCGCGUGCGUGAUGACGGCCUUCGAGUUGUAAACCGCUGUCGCCUGUGACGAAGCGUGAGUGACGGUAAUGGGUAAAGAAGCACCGGCUAACUACGUG